GUAGCUUUUAAACCGUGUGGCGAUACUCACAGAGGGGGCGGUAUAUUCUAAUGAGCCUGCAUGUUUCAUAGGAAGGCGAGCCAAACCUG